rnacentral:tRNA from 1 species
GCAGUGGUGGGUCUGUGGUAGAAUUCUUGUCUUCCAUGUGGGAGACCCAGGUUCCACUCCUGGCCAAUGCA